rnacentral:rRNA from 1 species
CACGUAGGGUGCGAGCGUUGUCCGGAAUUAUUGGGCGUAAAGCGCACGUAGGCGGCUUUGCAAGUCGGAUGUGAAAUCCCUCGGCUCAACCAAGGAAGUGCAUCCGAAACUGCCGAGCUUGAGUACUUAAGAGGAUCGCGGAAUUCCCGGUGUAGAGGUGAAAUUCGUAGAUAUCGGGAGGAACACCAGUGGCGAAGGCGGCGAUCUGGGAAGAUACUGACGCUGAGGUGCGAAAGCGUGGGGAGCAAACAGG